UAAAACCUCAUUUCCUUUAACCCAUUUUCAUUUACCAAAAAACCCAUUAAAAGAGAAGUAAAACAAAAGAAAAGAAAAACCUUUGCCGUAUUUCAGAGUUAUAUUAAUUAAAAAUAAAAUAAAAUCAAUUAAGGUGGAGAAAUAAUCAUGUGUGGUGGUGCUGUAAUCUCCGACUACUAUAUACCCACGGGCAGAUCUCAUCGUCUGACCGCUGAUUAUUUAUGGCCUGAUCUCAAAGGUGCUGCUGUUGCUGCUGCUAAGAAGGGUACCACCGGCUAUUCUAAGCCGUUGAGAUCUGGGAUUGCUAAUGUUGAUGAUGAUGAUGCUGUUGCUGAUCAAGCUUUUGAGGCUGAUUUUCUGGAGUUUAAAGAUGAAUCUGAUGAUGAAGUUUCUGUUCUUCCCGAGUUUAAACCCUUUUCUUUUGCCCUUCCUAAACCCAAAUCUCCUACUGGGUUGAAGCCCGUGGAGUUCGAAAGCCAGGCUGAAAAGUCGGCCAAGAGAAAGAGAAAGAACCAGUAUCGUGGUAUUCGACAACGCCCAUGGGGCAAGUGGGCUGCUGAGAUCCGUGACCCAAGGAAGGGCGUUCGAGUUUGGCUCGGAACAUUCAACACCGCUGAAGAAGCUGCUAGAGCGUAUGAUGCUGAGGCACGCAGGAUCCGUGGUGACAAAGCCAAGGUCAAUUUCCCUGAGGAAUCCCCCGCACCUUCUGCUACUCCUAGGCGUGCAGUUAAAGUCCGCUCUCAGAAACCUGCAACCUCACAGAACAUAAACCAGAACUUCAAUGUCAUGAACAAUCCCCAGAAUGAGUACUACAAAAGUUUUGCUGUUGUUGAAGAGAAGCCCCAAGUUAAGCAGUUUCAGUAUUCUGACCCAAUGCCUGUUGUAGGAGAGGUAGCAGCAUUCCAACCCUUCACUACUACCCCUUCUGAGGGAGCUGAUCUGUAUUUCAAUUCAGAAGAAGGUAGUAACUCCUUUGAUUGUUCCGACUUUGCUUGGGGAGAGAACGGCCCCAAAACUCCAGAAAUAUCCUCAUUCUUCUCCUCUGCACUCUCGAGCGAUGAUGAUGGAAAUGCAACGAAGAAGAUGAAGGUAACACCGGGAGAUGCUUUACCCGUUGAAGAACACAGCGGAAAGAGCCUAUCUGAGGAGCUCUCCGAUGCUGAUUUUGAGUCACAGUUGAAUUUCUUGGAUACGCCAUAUCUUGAUGAGAAUUGGGCAAUUGAUGCCUUCCUCGGAGGUGAUGCAUCGAAUGAGGGUGUUAAUCCGAUGGAUCUAUGGAGCUUCGAUGACUUCCCCGGGGGAGUAUUCUAAGCAUGCCAUGCCUUCUUUAUGUAAAUAAGACAUGAGUGUCUGUUCGUGAGGUGAGAAUACCGGUAGUGGUGUUACUGGGCAGAUGCAGUUAUAUGAGAGUACAUAGGCUAACCCGACAUUUUGUCACUCCCGGAUUUGACUGGUAUCUUCUUUUCCCCAUGAGACGAUGGAACAGAGAGCUUUCUCUCCUUUUCCGCCCAACCGAUUGGUCUUGAGAAUACUGGUUUUAAGAACGAGUGAUUGCCCUUCUUCGACGCUCACUGUCCAACCUGGGAGCGGACACCCAUUUAUGGAUGCACACUUUUACCUUAAAUGCUUCAAAACUUCAUGAAUUGUCAUACACUCAUACGGAUGGAUUUGUCUAGGGAGAAUCGAAGAAAAAUUAAAGGAAGCUUUGUAUACGGAGUUGUAUUUUGUACUCCGUAAGUCA